GGCCGAGGGAGGCUUAUCGGCGGGGCCACAAGCUGAGUGCGCCAUGUCACUCUAUGCCUUGUCCCUUGGGAAGGUCUGAGACUGGGGUCAAAAGCGGCCCUGACAGGGCUUUCCCAGUUCUGGGGAGGUGAGUACCCUGAAACAGGGCCCCGUGUGAGGAUAGACUGGGCAGGAAGUGCUGUGGAUCCCGUACCUGUGGUGGGACCUGGUGGAUGUCUCCUUAGGAGGAACUUGAAAGAGACUCAUGGCCAGCCAUCCAGAGAGUUCAAUGGCUGAGGUGAGGAGCCCUGCAUGGGGCCUCAGAACCCAACUCAGACUGCUCUUCCAAGACC
rnacentral:RNase_P_RNA from 15 species